ensembl:snRNA LOC120100222 U7 small nuclear RNA
AGCUGUUACAGCUGUUUUAGAAUUUUUCUAGCAGAAUUUCUGACCUAGGUCUGAGGACCCA